GGAAGGCCUUCUUUCUUCUUAUAAAUUUUUUGAACUUCCUUACUAUUAAGCCCAAGUCUUCAUCUUCACUUUCUUCUUCACUUUCACUGCUUUCUUCUUCACAAAUACUUGAAGUAGCCUUGAGGGCGAUUGUCUUCUUCUUUGACACAUCUUCUUCAUGUUGCUUCAUUGUGAGCUCAUGCGUCAUCAAUGAGCCCAAUAGUUCUUCAAGUGCCAAGGUGUUGAGGUCUUUGGCUUCUACGAUCGCCGUGACCUUUGCUUCCC
rnacentral:lncRNA from 1 species